GGGAUUGUAGCUUAGCAGUAGAGCGCUCACCUAGCACGUGUGAGGCACUGGGUUCGAUCCUCAGCACCA
rfam:Ictidomys tridecemlineatus contig048215, whole genome shotgun sequence.